rnacentral:lncRNA from 1 species
UACAAAGGCAAUAAACACCUUAAUGCUUUCAUCUUUGUUUUCUCUAGGAAAUGACUUAAGAAGAAAACCCUCUAACAGUGAUCUCAGCAUUCAUACAGCAGUGAACUUCAGAUACAGUAAUUGCAUCGCUGAGAGCUAUGACGACUUUCCCAUGGGGGAGAAAUGACCUGGUAAUUCACGAAUGACAAAGUCAAAAGUAAGGGGAAUGACCUUUACUCCACUCGUGAAAAUGUGCAGACAUCACAUCAAGAAAAUGCUCAUAUUAGUCCCAUGUCUCUUUCCAAGACAGUCUAAUUAAACUUCACAUCCAGAAAGUACAUGGAGGAAUUAUUUUUACUCGGGCAAUUGAACCUCAAAAUAAAAAAAUGAACUCUAUUAAAAAAAAAUUCUAC